CCCUUAGAUGUUCUGGGCCGCACGCGCGCUACAAUGAUGAAUUCAACGAGUUUAUAACCUUGGUUGAAAAGCCUGGGUAAUCUUUUGAACUUUCGUCGUGAUGGGGCUAGACCCUUGCAAUUAUUGGUCUCCAACGAGGAAUUCCUAGUAAACGCAAGUCAUCAGCUUGCAUUGAUUACGUCCCUGCCCUUUGUACACACCGCCCGUCGCACCUACCGAUUGAAUGGUCCGGUGAAAUCUUCGGAUUGAGGCUUUGUUUUCUUCACGGAAAACGCUGUUUUAAAAAGUUGAUUAAACCUUACCAUUUAGAGGAAGGUGAAGUCGUAACA
rnacentral:rRNA from 1 species